rnacentral:rRNA from 1 species
AGGGAUUGCCCUAGUAACGGCGAGUGAAGCGGCAACAGCUCAAAUUUGAAAUCUGGCGCAAGCCCGAGUUGUAAUUUGUAGAGGAUGCUUCUAGGUAGCGACCGGUCUAAGUUCCUUGGAACAGGACGUCAUAGAGGGUGAGAAUCCCGUAUGUGACUGGCCCGCACCUUCUACGUAGCUCCUUCGACGAGUCGAGUUGUUUGGGAAUGCAGCUCUAAAUGGGAGGUAAAUUUCUUCUAAAGCUAAAUACCGGCCAGAGACCGAUAGCGCACAAGUAGAGUGAUCGAAAGAUGAAAAGCACUUUGGAAAGAGAGUUAAAAAGCACGUGAAAUUGUUGAAAGGGAAGCGCUCACAACCAGACUUCUAGGCAGUGUUCCGCCGGUCUUUUGACCGGUCUACUCUCUGUCUCGAGGCCAACAUCAUCUGGGACCGCUGGAUAAGACCUUAGGAAUGUAGCUCCCCUCGGGGAGUGUUAUAGCCUCUGGUGAUGCAGCGAGUCUCGGGUGAGGUCCGCGCUUCGGCAAGGAUGUUGGCGUAAUGGUUGUCAGCGGCCCGUCUUGAAACACGGACCAAGGAGUCUAACAUCUAUGCGAGUGUUCGGGUGUCAAACCCCUACGCGUAAUGAAAGUGAACGGAGGUGGGAAGCGUAAGCUGCACCAUCGACCGAUCCUGAUGUCCUCGGAUGGAUUUGAGUAAGAGCAUAGCUGUUGGGACCCGAAAGAUGGUGAACUAUGCCUGAAUAGGGUGAAGCCAGAGGAAACUCUGGUGGAGGCUCGCAGCGGUUCUGACGUGCAAAUCGAUCGUCAAAUUUGGGUAUAGGGGCGA